UACAGAGGGGGCAAGCGUUGUUCGGAAUUACUGGGCGUAAAGGGCGCGUAGGUGGCCUUCUAAGUUGAACGUGAAAUCCCUGGGCUCAACCCAGGAACUGCGUCCAAGACUGGGAGGCUUGAAUCUGGGAGAGGGAUGCGGAAUUCCAGGUGUAGCGGUGAAAUGCGUAGAUAUCUGGAGGAACACCGGUGGCGAAGGCGGCAUCCUGGACCGGUAUUGACACUGAGGCGCGAAAGCCAGGGGAGCAAACGGG
rnacentral:rRNA from 1 species